rnacentral:rRNA from 1 species
AUUGAACGCUGGUGGCAGGCCUAACACAUGCAAGUCGAGCGGAGCGGCGGACGGGUGAGUAAUGCCUAGGAAUCUGCCUGCUAGUGGGGGAUAACUUCCGGAAACGGGCGCUAAUACCGCAUACUCUCAGAUGAGCCUAGGUCGGAUUAGCUAGUUGGUGGGGUAAAGGCCUACCAAGGCGACGAUCCGGAACUGGUCUGAGAGGAUGAUAAGUCACACUGGAAAUGAGAAACGGGCCAGACUCCUAAGGGAGGCAGAAGGGGGGAAUAUUGGACAAGGGGCGAAAGCCUGAUCAAGCCAUGCCGCGUGUGUGAAGAAGGUCUUCGGAUUGUAAAGCACUUUAAGUUGGGAGGCGUUACCAACAGAAGAAGCACCGGCUAACUUCGUGCCAGCAGCCGCGGUAAUUC